UGCAGAGACGUAGCAGAACAUUUUAAGCAAUGUAUUGAGUUGGAGUUUGACGAAAUUCCCGAGGAUGCGGCUCUCCAUCCCACAUGCUACCGGAGGUUUAUUGACAAGCGGGAAAUUGAACGAGUCACACGGCGUGUCUUGCGAGAGGCAGAGAGGGGAGAUGGCCAACAAGACCCCCGAACUAGCCAGGCUACCUGGCUACCUUCCUGCUGUCUGCAUGAUUUGCAAGAAAGACAGCAAAUUUAUCGUCGCGAGUGGCAGACGUCAAAGAGAACGAAAACACAGACUUUAACCGCAGGUAAGAUUACUCUCACCCCCACCACACAGUCUAUGCGAAUGCAUCCCAUCCCCCAAAUCACACACACACACACACACACACACACACACACACACACACACACACACACACACACAGAUGUUAGUAGAAGUUGACUGACUAUCUAGCCCACACUGCUGCACAAUCAUUGUUUUUUUUUGUCUAAUUCUAAUAUGAAUGCACGUGUGAAUUGGCAUAAUGUGUUAUGUGUGUGGGUGUGAAAUUACAUUCCAAUAGCCUGCAAAACAUCCCCAUGCCUAUAGUACCCCCAGUGUUUUAGGUUUUAGAUGUUUAAAUGAAUCACACUUUGUCUUAAAUAGGAUAGGGUAUGUUUAUAUGGAUGUCAAAGCAUGCCUGAUGUUGAUAUGACUCUGAAUAUCUGUUCAGAAAUGUGGCUCCUCAGCCUGAUGACCUGUCUGGUUAAGACACUGCUUCUGCCAUCCCAUCCCCCGUGCCAUUCCCCUACCCCCCACUGCCCCCCUCUCUCACUUGUACACUUGGGAUUUUUCCGCUUCUGUCCCUGGGCAGCCUCAGUGACCAGGCUCAAGAGGUGUGUCCUGGCUGUGCUGUACAUCUGUGUGCUUAACCCCUUAGCACAGCACCUAUGUUAUAACCUUACUGUCACCAAAAUUUUAAUAUGUAUGUCUUAAUCUGUUACUCUGCACUGUCAUAGCAAUGUUGUUAUGAUGUAGUUUUCAGCAAAUAGUGAAUAAGCCCGCUGGCAACCCCAUCUGCACUGCAGUAAGAGGCUACGGAAUGCUUUUUUGGGGGGUGCAACACCCAUCACCAUUUUUUUUUUUUUUACAAUACCACUCCACCAGGAAAAAUGUCUAAUUGUUUGCCUGUCUAUUUAUUCAUUCUUUUUUCUUUUCUUUUGUACAAGGCAAGUUGCAGGAAGCAGCUGAAGUAAAGGAAGCCAAGAGCAUCCUCAUUCACAUCAAGGACAGAGACUGUGUGGCUCUGGAGGUGCAGGACCACAGAAGUUGCUACAGAGAGUACACAAGGUUUUUGAGUGAGCCUGUCAGAGCAGAGAAAGAACAGAUUGGGCCAACAUUUGAUCUGAGCUACAAGUUAUUCUGCGAGAGGGUAAUCCGCUAAAGGCUACUGAUCAACCAAGAGGUGCUGAGGAUGAGCCAACUGAGGAAGGCCUUUAUUGCCCUUGUGCAGUCAAGUGAAGGUGUUGAUGCUUCAACCUACAGACAGGAUAUAUUGAAGAAGAGGCUCAGUCGUGAUUUUCCUCAGCUAGUGUUCCACACCCCCGCCAAACGCAACACAUCUGAACUGGUUUUUGCUGAGAACUUGUCGACGAAUGCAGUCUUGGACUUGUUACCAUCAGGUGCGGAGACGACUCAGUCCAGCGAAAUGAGCCAGACAGACAGCGACACAGAAAGGAGGAAGUCAAAGCAACCAACCACAGCAGAGGAGACACGGACACUUUACACAGCAGCUUUGCUUUUGAAGAGGCUGCUUAGUCACAGUCCUGGCAUGUCAUGCCCAUGGCCCCCAACUGCAGUAAACUUCAAUCUCACUGAAGUCAUUUGCUGUGGCAUGCGCAAAAGAUGUGUACCUGGAUGCUUUCACACAGUUCAUGAAAAUGCCAGUUCAUGUGUAUGCCACUUGUUU